AAUUAAUUUAUAAGGGUAAUUGGUGGAUGCCUUGGUAUCAGAAGGCGAUGAAGGAGGCAGAAGGCUGCCAAAAGCUUCGGGGAGCUGUCAAUCGAGCAUUGAUCCGAAGGUUUCCGAAUGGGGAAACCCUCUCUGGAAAAACCAGAGAACUUUUAUCUGAAUACAUAGGAUAAAAGGGCGAACGGCGUGAACUGAAACAUCUAAGUAACGCUAGGAAAAGAAAACAAAGUGAUUCCCUGAGUAGUGGUGAGCGAAAUGGGAGGAGCCUAAACCAGUAUUAUGUAUAAGCCUGCGAGCGUUGUAAUACUGGGGUAGAGGGGCAAUUAUAUUUAUGAGUUGCAGCUCAUGAGUCAGGAGACUAUUUUAGCAGAAGUGUUCUGGAAAGGACCGCCAUAGGGAGUGACAGCCUCGUAAGCGAAAGAAUAGAGUAAAUGAUAAUUUUUGUACCCAAGUACCGCGGAGCACGUGAAAUUCCGUGGGAAUCUGCCCGGACCAUCGGGUAAGGCUAAAUACUAACUGAUGACCGAUAGUGAACUAGUACCGUGAGGGAAAGGUGAAAAGAACCCCGGGAGGGGAGUGAAAUAGACACUGAAACCAAUUAUUUACAAUCGGUGGAAGCGAUAUAUACGUAUGCGCGACCACGUACCUUUUGCAUAAUGAGCCAACGAGUUAUCGUAUGCUGCAAGGUUAAGCUUAGUAAGAGCGGAGCCGUAGCGAAAGCGAGUCUGAAUAGGGCGCUUAGUAGUAUGCGUUAGACCCGAAGCCUAGUGAGCUAUCCAUGUCCAGGAUGAAGUUCCAGUAAAAUGGGAUGGAGGUCCGAACCGGUGUAGGUUGAAAACUGCUCGGAUGAGGUGUGGAUAGGGGUGAAAGGCCAAUCAAACUAGGAAAUAGCUGGUUCUCCCCGAAAUAUAUUUAGGUAUAGCCUUGUUGAAUUAACUAUGGGGGUAAAGCACAGUUGGAACUUUGGGGGCGCAAGCUUACCGGGUUUUUACUAACUCUGAAUACCGUAGUUUUAGAAGACAGGAGUCAGACUGCGAGAGAUAAGUUUCGUGGUCGAGAGGGAAACAGCCCAGACCAUCAGUUAAGGUCCCAAAAUAUCCGCUAAGUGAAUAAAAGAAGUGGAAAUACACAGACAGCCAGGAGGUUGGCUUAGAAGCAGCCAUCCUUUAAAGAAAGCGUAAUAGCUCACUGGUCAAGUGUUUUUGCGCUGAAGAAUAAACGGGACUAAGCGGAUUACCGAAACUAUGGCUUGCACAGAGAUACGUCUUUGCGCAGGGGUAGGGGAGCGUUCUUUGAUAGAUACAAGCUUGACUGUAAAGACAGGUGUCGUUGAUCAAAGAAGUGAGAAUGUUGGUAUAAGUAACGAAAAAAUAGGUGAAAUUCCUGUUCGCCGAAAAUCUAAGGUUUCCGUGAGAACGGUUUAUCCACUCAGGGUUAGUCGAUACCUAAGCCGAGGCCAAUUGGAGUAGGCGAUGGAAAGCAGGUUAAAUAUUCCUGCACCGCUUGAUAGCGUUUGAGUGAUGGGGUGACGCAGCCGGGUAGGUCAACUUGGAUUAUGAAUUGCCAAGCUAAGCACUUAGAGGAGUUUUGUAGGUAAAUCCGCAAAACUGUUAUCCUUGAAAUGUUAUGGGCAUACAAAUUCUUUAUGAAGAUGUAUGUUUGAUUGAUCCCUCACUGACUAGAAAAACCUCUAGCGAGUUAUUUAAGCGAUCGUACCGCAAACUGACACAGGUAGAUAGGAUGAGAAUUCUAAGGCGUUGAGAUAAUUAUCAUUAAGGAACUCGGCAAAAUUGCCCCGUAACUUAGGGAUAAGGGGUGCCUAUAUCGUGAUCAGGUUUUCUGAAGAGCGAUGGUAGGUUACAAUAAAUAGGCCCAACCGACUGUUUAACAAAAACACAGGGCUCUGCAAACUCGAAAGAGGAAGUAUAGAGUCUGACGCCUGCCCAGUGCCGGAAGGUUAACAGGAGGGGUUAGUCCGUAAGGGCGAAGCUCUGAAUCGAAGCCCCGGUAAACGGCGGCCGUAACUCUAACGGUCCUAAGGUAGCGAAGUACCUUGUCGGGUAAAUUCCGACGCGCAUGAAUGGCGUAACGAGUUGGGCGCUGUCUUAAUGAUAAACUCAGUGAAUUUGUAGUACGGGUGAAAAUGCCCGUUACCCGCGACAGGACGGAAAGACCCCGUGCACCUUUACUAUAGCUUAACAUUGAUUUUUGGAUUGGUUUGUGUAGGAUAGGCGGUAGACUGUGAGAGCGUGGCGCUAGCUGCGAAGGAGUCGACCUUGAAAUACCGCCCUUAUUGGUUUGAAAAUCUAACUUUGAAUACCCGUUAUCCGGGCAAAGGACAUUGUUUGGUGGGUAGUUUGACUGGGGUGGUCGCCUCCUAAAAAGUAACGGAGGCGUUCAAAGGUUCCCUCAUGACGAAUAGAAAUCGUCGGAAGAGCGUAAAAGUAUAAGGGAGCUUGACUGCGAGACAUACAGGUCGAGCAGGUGCGAAAGCAGGAUUUAGUGAUCCAGUGGUUCCGAAUGGAAGGGCCAUUGCUAAACGGAUAAAAGGUACGCCGGGGAUAACAGGCUGAUCUCCUCUGAGAGUCCGCAUCGACGAGGAGGUUUGGCAAAGGUCCCAAGGGUUUGGCUGUUCGCCAAUUAAAGUGGUACGCGAGCUGGGUUCAGAACGUCGUAAGACAGUUCGGUCCUUAUCCGUCGUGGGCGUAGGGUAUUUGAUGGGAGCUGUUCCUAGUACGAGAGGACCGGAAUGGGCUAGCCUCUGGUGUUCCAGUUGUUCAACAAGAGCAGCGCUGGGUAGCUAAGCUGGUAAGAGAUAACCGCUGAAAGCAUCUAAGUGGGAAACUCGCCCAAAGAUAAGAUACCCCGGUUAAUCGAAUUUGUGAUUCAGGUUUCGGCUUGAUGAGCAUUGGGAAUUAACAAUAAUCAUAAGACUCCUCGAAGACUACGAGGUUGAUAGGCUGGGUGUGUAAGCGCAGUAAUGCAUUGAGCUAACCAGUACUAAUAGGUCGAAAGUUUUAAUUAC
rfam:Candidate division TM6 bacterium GW2011_GWF2_32_72 TR26_C0002, whole genome shotgun sequence.